CCCUCAAAUCCUAAAUUGAACUUCUCAAGUUCUUCUUUUUAUAUGAGCCGCUUCUUCGAUCCAGAAUUCCCAGCAAAUCCUUGACAUACACAACUCAAAUGCAUGUCCCUCUUUCUCUCUUUAUUUCACCAAAUAUGCUAUGGAUUUAGGGGUUUAUUAGUCGUUUUUGUUCAAUUGAUUGAUGAAGUUGGGUUGGAUUGGGCUGUCAAAUUCUUGAAUCGUAAUUAUAAAAUUCUGAUAACUUGACUGAGGCUCUGAUGUUCUUGUCACAUUUUGUUGGUGAUGUUCACCAGGUUCUGUCAAUCAUUUGAUUAAUUAGCUGAGGCUAGAGAUGUGGGGGAUUGUUUGCAAGCACAUGAAGCUCUGAUUUCUCAUAUCUGCUUCUAAGGCUCAAGCAGCUUUCAGGAGGCAACGUUCCAUUGGUAUUUUCCCUCUUUGUUUCUGAAUUACGAUUAACAAGAUGUUAUUUUUACAUUCAUGGAAGGGCCACAAAAUCUCUUGUAAACUUUAUAGAUAAAAUACUCUGCAUAAUUUCUUGUUUUACUCUACAAAUUUACUUUUCUUGUUAUUAAUGUGAUUUUUUUUGU